CUUGAAUCUUUCUGAAGACAGAGAUGGAGAGCACUGUUGGAAAUACCCACCAAAAGACAAGAAGAUCUCAGUUCAGACUGAUGAAGAAUGCCUGAUGGGAAUCUAGGGAAAUUCCAGACUCCAGACACAGGAAAAGAUCUUUAACAUUCAGU